UUUUAAGCCUGAUUGCAAUGGAAAGCCCGGAACCCGAUCCUUUAUCGGGUGAGGACUUGCAAUGAAAAGCAGGACUGAAG
rfam:Spinacia oleracea cultivar SynViroflay scaffold93510.con0001.1, whole genome shotgun sequence.